AGAAGAAGCUUCUGUCAAAGAUUAGGAACAGAAACGCAGCGUUUCAGUGUUUACUUGAACUUUCUAAUCGGCAUGCUGUGUAGCUGAGUUCAGUGCAACAAUGCGACAUUUUGUGAGUUUAGAGCUUUCUCGGGUGGCAGAACUUCCACUGCGCCCCCUGCUGUAUGCGGCCGCAGCUGCAGCUUCGGCCGCGGGAGUUUAUUAUUAUCUCAAUAAUCAUGGCGAUGGCGUGAGGACAACGCUGGACCCCGCAGAUACAACUCCCACCGAAGACCCAGUGCAGAUGGACUCUGCAGAGUCUGAUUUGGUGGAGCCAGACUUGAUGUGUGAUGUGGAUGAAGGCAGUGUGACACAGACUGACAGCACUGUGACACAGACUGACAGCACUGCCUCUGAGGUAUCUUUGUCUGAAGCUGAGGAGAAAUAUGAGCUGGAGUCUUGUGCUCGGCUGGAAAACGAGAAGCCCGAACUGCUGUCUGAUGUGAAUGCACUGCAAGACUCAGUGCAGGAAUUGAAGAAAGAGCUCUCUGAAGCCCGGAAAAGGAAUGAUGAGCUAGAAAUGGAGUGUAAUAAAAAAAGUCAGGAGUUGCAGUUGCUGCAGAUCCAGCACAAUGCGAUUAAGACACAUUUACGAAAGAAGUAUGAAGAAGAGCGGCAGGCUCACAGCGAUCUGAAGCCCCAGUAUAGUCAGUUGAUGAAAACUUUAACACAGACACAGGUCUCUCUGACUAAGGCUGAGGAAGGAUUUCUAAUUGCAAUGCACUAUAAUGACGAAAAUGUACAAGAAGUUAACGGACUGCUAAGAAAACUCUACCAUGACCAUAAGUGUGAACAAAUGAGGCUGGAAUCUGAGCGAGAGUUCAUGCAGUCACAGUACAAAGAGAUAUUACAACAGCGCGAUGAGUUACUAAUGGACUGUAAGCGAGAACGGGAGGCUCACAAUAUCCUGAAGUCACAGUAUGAUCAUCUGCAAUGUUGGGAAUCUGUGCGACUGAUCUUGCAGUCACAGUAUAAAGAGAUAUUACAACAGCGCAAUGAGUUACUAAUGGAGUGUGUGCGAGAACGGGAGGCUCACAAUAUCCUGAAGUCACAGUACGAUAAUGUGAUAGAAACGUUAACACACAACGAGGAGUUGUUAAAGAACUUCCAGAUCUCCUUGGAUGAAGCUGAGGAAAUAUACUGGCCUGCAAUGGAGUUCAGUACUCAGCUGGAGUCUAACCUCAGUCCAGCAGUAGGAGGAAGAGCUCUGGGAGACACACAAAGUGUGACGAGAUAACAACAGAGCAGAAGCAAGAAUGGGAGGAGCACAGUAUUCUGAAGUUGCAGCACAGAGAGAUGAUGGAAACUGUUAAACAGUGCUAUGAGUUCUAUGAACUCCAGACACCUGCCAGGGGUGGUGAUUAACAUCUGGAUAUUCUCCAAUACAUGUGUGCAUAUUCCAAGUCCUAUACCACAAAGUCAGUGUUAUCACUGGUGGGCUCUGUGCAGCUUUCCCAAAGUGAGUGGAGGAGGGUGGACUGGCCUCCUGCGUGAUGUUACAUUUGGUGAAAACACAAGUGAUAUAAUACAGGGGUCCACAGACCAAAACCCAUCAAUAUUUGACAUAUUAGCCAAGGAUCUUACCAUGGAGCUCCUGUUAUGGCUGCUUUAAUGCUUACUCGUUGCAUAUGUGAGCUGCUUGAUGCUGAACCCUUACAAUACGCUGCCAGAACCAACAAUGAGAAGUGUGGCUCGGCUGAUGGCAUGUUUUCUGGUUUAAAAUAAUUCUGGAGGUAGUGAUGGAAAUGCCGUCAUCAUUCUUCUCAAUCGAGCACCAGCAUGGGGGCUCAUACCUCUGGCUAUCAGGGAGGCUUUGUAGUGGUGUCUGAGCUGCUGUUAGACAAUGGAGGGUGUACCUUCUGGUCUAGUAGCUCUGUUAGCAUCGGUUGUGUGAGGAGAGUUUCAGUCUGCUAGAACUGGUUGAAUGGGUGGAUCAAUGGAUGUUAUCCAGCAGGAGAGCAUGAAAAAGGCACUUCAGUGAUGUUUACAGUAAGUACUACAUCAUUGUUGUCAUAUGAAUUUGAAGAAAAGGUCUUGGCAUACACAUACUAGAGAAUACCUAGGUGUUAAUCACACUGCCUCUGGAGGUUAGGAUGGGUGAAAUAGAACUACCACUAAGAUGCAGGUGCUCAGGAUGAAGGGUGGAUGCAAUUAACACUCUUUGACAAAAGUAAAUGUGAGAAAGAAACAUGCAUGACAUUUUCAUCAAAUCUACUUUAAUUAAAUGAGCUAUAGCUCAACCAAAUCCAACCUUGAGGAAGCUGUGUAUGGGUGUGUGUGUGUGUGUGUGUGCGCACCCUGUUGUCACAGGAAGUUUGGAGGUGAACUGAUCAUUUGAUGAGACAACUGGAGCCUAAAAACUCAGAUUGAUGGCCUCAGUGGUUCACGGUGUGCCUAAACCAGGAUGUGACUGACAUCCAGAUAAUCCAUGAGAACCUUCUUCUGACUCACAGCCCAUAUGUGGAAAUUUUCUAUGCCUUACCCAAUCAGUCAUUCAACCUGACGUGAUGACUAGCUUAGUGAUUGUGUGAGAGUAUAAUUGUUGCUGUAAUGAGUGUGAAUGCAGGACGGCCUACAAACUCCUUGCUGAGUGUUGCUUCUAACGAGACU